rnacentral:tRNA from 1 species
UCCCUUAUAGUCCAGUGGUUAGGAUACUCCGCUUUCAAUCCCUUUGGAAGCGUUCCGGAGAGACCCGAGUUCGAACCUCGGUGAGGGAA